rnacentral:rRNA from 1 species
GGGAGUGAGACUGCGGGCGACAAGGUUCGUAGUCGAGAGGGAAACAGCCCGACCGCCGGCUAAGGUCCCGGAUAGCAUGCUGAGUGUAAAUGAUGUGCCAUGGCGCAGACAGCCAGGAGGUUGGCUUAGAAGCAGCCAUUCCUUGAAAGAGUGCGUAAUAGCUCACUGGUCGAGUCAGGCGCGCAGACAAUGUAACGGGGCUAAGCAUGCAACCGAAGCCGCGGAUUCGCACAGCAAUGUACGGUUGGUAGGGGAGCAUUCCGCAGACCGACGAAGGCGUACUUGUAAGGUGCGCUGGAGGGAGCGGAAGAGAGAAUGCAGGUAUAAGUACACGAAAAGACGGGUGAGAUCCCCGUCCGCCGAAGCCUAAGGAUUCCUGGGUAAAGGUCAUCUGCCCAGGGUAAGUCGGCCCCUAAGACGAGGGCGAAAGCCGUAGCCGAUGGGAAACUGGUUCAAAUUCCAGUACCGUUUUUGGUUUUAUGGGAUGACGCGUGAGGUGAAACCCGGCCGGGCGACGGUUGCCCCGGUCGAAGCCGCGAGCUAUUGGGAUGGAGGAAACAUUUUCWGGUGAGCGGCGACCGCGAGCCGACCUACGGGAAGGCGAAGCGGGAGUAAUCAAGGCGCCGAGAAAUAAUCCCCACUAGACAGGCCAGGAAGACCGUACCGCAAACCGACACAGGUGGGCGGGAUGAGAAAUCUAAGGCGCUCGAGAGAACUCGCGUUAAGGAACUCGGCAAAAUGCGCACGUAACUUCGGGAGAAGUGCGGCCAUUUUUUGUUUACCAAUAGGUAAAGGGUGGCGACACAAAGCAGUCCCAGGCGACUGUUAUCAAAAACACAGGCUUCUGCGAACC